rnacentral:rRNA from 1 species
CCUACGGGUGGCAGCAGUGAGGAAUAUUGGUCAAUGGGAGCGAUCCUGAACCAGCCAAGCCGCGUGAGGGAAGACGGCCCUAUGGGUUGUAAACCUCUUUUGUCGGGGAACAAAACCCGGGACGUGUCCCGGACUGCGUGUAUCCGAAGAAAAAGCAUCGGCUAACUCCGUGCCAGCAGCCGCGGUAAUACGGAGGAUGCGAGCGUUCUCCGGAUUUAUUGGGUUUAAAGGGUGCGGAGGCGGUACGUUAAGUCAGCGGUAAAAUUGCGGGGCUCAACCCCGUCGAGCCGUUGAAACUGGGUGACUUGAGUUGGUGAGAAGUACGCGGAAUGCGUGGUGUAGCGGUGAAAUGCAUAGAUAUCGCGCAGAACUCCGAUUGCGAAGGCAGCGUACCGGCGCCAAACUGACGCUGAUGCACGAAAGCGUGGGGAUCGAACAGGAUUAGAUACCCUUGUAGUC